rnacentral:rRNA from 1 species
GUUAAGCGACUAAGCGUACACGGUGGAUGCCCUGGCAGUCAGAGGCGAUGAAGGACGUGCUAAUCUGCGAUAAGCGUCGGUGAGGUGAUAUGAACCGUUAUAACCGGCGAUUUCCGAAUGGGGAAACCCAGUGUGUUUCGACACACUAUCAUUAACUGAAUCCAUAGGUUAAUGAGGCGAACCGGGGGAACUGAAACAUCUAAGUACCCCGAGGAAAAGAAAUCAACCGAGAUUCCCCCAGUAGCGGCGAGCGAACGGGGAGGAGCCCAGAGCCUGAAUCAGUGUGUGUGUUAGUGGAAGCGUCUGGAAAGGCGCGCGAUACAGGGUGACAGCCCCGUACACAAAAAUGCACAUAUUGUGAGCUCGAUGAGUAGGGCGGGACACGUGGUAUCCUGUCUGAAUAUGGGGGGACCAUCCUCCAAGGCUAAAUACUCCUGACUGACCGAUAGUGAACCAGUACCGUGAGGGAAAGGCGAAAAGAACCCCGGCGAGGGGAGUGAAAAAGAACCUGAAACCGUGUACGUACAAGCAGUGGG